rnacentral:rRNA from 1 species
UGGGGAAUAUUGCACAAUGGGGGAAACCCUGAUGCAGCGACGCCGCGUGAACGAAGAAGGUAUUCGUAUCGUAAAGUUCUGUCCUAUGGGAAGAUAAUGACAGUACCAUAGAAGAAAGCUCCGGCCAAAUACGUGCCAGCAGCCGCGGUAAUACGUAUGGAGCGAGCGUUGUCCGGAAUUAUUGGGCGUAAAGGGUACGCAGGCGGUUUAAUAAGUCGAAUGUUAAAGAUCGGGGCUCAACCCCGUAAAGCAUUGGAAACUGAUAAACUUGAGUAGUGGAGAGGAAAGUGGAAUUCCUAGUGUAGUGGUGAAAUACGUAGAUAUUAGGAGGAAUACCAGUAGCGAAGGCGACUUUCUGGACACAAACUGACGCUGAGGUACGAAAGCGUGGGGAGCAAACAGG